GGCACCAUGGUGUAAUGGUUAUCACAUCUGCCUAACACGCAGAAGGUCCCCCAUUUCGAUCCUGGGUGGUGUCA
rnacentral:tRNA from 1 species